UCUGUGAGCAGGGCAAGUCAUAACACAGUUAAGACAGGAGGGGGAAAGAGAUACUGUGAUUCUACAGUGAUGUUUCCCAAAUGCCAUCUCUCCAGCUGCCAGGCCCGAGAAAUAAAACCAAGGAAUUAAGAGUCAGAUGUGUGCUAUAAGAAUUCAAACAGUGCUGUUCCCACUAUGAAACCCUGCUAACUAACUUCUCAAGCCAUGUCAGCACUGUCUACAAAGCUUCAUACAUCCCCUAUUUGUGAAAAUGUUCCACUGUCGUCCUACCUGCAAACAGAAUAGUCUUCGGCCUAGACUGACAAGAAGGCAUCUUGCUUCUCAGUUAUAAUCCUGUUAACAUUUAAAAAGACUAGAGGAUCCCAAACCCACCUGGAAGAGCUGUUUCAUUGGGCAACUUGUCUACUUCCAAGAUAAAGUCAUCCUUGAAGAACAGAUAGCCCACUAUUGAGAAGAGGUAAACCAGGAUCAGAGCCAGGACCGCUGUCAAGAUGAUGGACCGUCCAUUGCGGGUGACACUUUUAAUGACAUUAAGCAAAGUCUCCUCUCUGUACACUAAAUCAAAAAGCUUCAAAAAAACAAGAUGAUAGAACAA